rnacentral:rRNA from 1 species
AUUGAACGCUGGCGGCAUGCCUUACACAUGCAAGUCGAACGGCAGCACGGGAGCAAUCCUGGUGGCGAGUGGCGAACGGGUGAGUAAUAUAUCGGAACGUGCCCAGUCGUGGGGAUAACGUAGCGAAAGCUACGCUAAUACCGCAUACGAUCUAUGGAUGAAAGCGGGGGAUCGCAAGACCUCGCGCGAUUGGAGCGGCCGAUAUCAGAUUAGGUAGUUGGUGAGGUAAAGGCUCACCAAGCCGACGAUCUGUAGCUGGUCUGAGAGGACGACCAGCCACACUGGGACUGAGACACGGACCAGACUCCUACGGAGGCAGCAGUGAGGAAUUUUGGACAAUGGGCGCAAGCCUGAUCCAGCAAUGCCGCGUGCAGGAUGG